GUGAGUAACACGUAAGAAUUUGCCUUUAGGAGGGGGACAACAACUGGAAACGGUUGCUAAUACCCCAUAUGCUUUCGAGUGAAACGGUUUUUCCGCCUAGAGAGAAGCUUGCGGCUGAUUAGCUUGUUGGUAAGGUAAUGGCUUACCAAGGCGACGAUCAGUAUCUGGUUUGAGAGGACGAUCAGACACACUGGAACUGAGACACGGUCCAGACUCCUACGGGAGGCAGCAGUGGGGAAUUUUCCGCAAUGGGCGAAAGCCUGACGGAGCAAUACCGCGUGAGGGAUGACUGCCUAUGGGUUGUAAACCUCUUUUUUCAGGGAGGAAUAAACUGACGUGUACCUGAAGAAUAAGCAUCGGCUAACUCCGUGCCAGCAGCCGCGGUAAGACGGAGGAUGCAAGUGUUAUCCGGAAUCACUGGGCGUAAAGCGUCUGUAGGUGGUUUAAUAAGUCAACUGUUAAAUCUUGAGGCUCAACCUCGAAACCCGCAGUCGAAACUAUUAGACUAGAGUAUAGUAGGGGUAAAGGGAA
rnacentral:rRNA from 1 species